ACCCUUCGGGGUGGAAAGUGGCGCACGGGUGCGUAACACGUGGAUAAUCAACCCUCAGGUUUGGGAUAACACUGGGAAACUGGUGCUAAUACCGGAUGUGCCUGUGAGUUCUUCGGAGUUUACAGGGAAAGACCCGCAAGGGUUGCCUAAGGACGAGUCCGCGGCCCAUCAGCUAGUUGGUAAGGUAAUGGCUUACCAAGGCGAAGACGGGUAGCUGGUCUGAGAGGAUGAUCAGCCACACUGGAACUGAGACACGGUCCAGACUCCUACGGGAGGCAGCAGUGGGGAAUAUUGCGCAAUGGGCGAAAGCCUGACGCAGCCACGCCGCGUGUGCGAUGAAGGUCUUCGGAUCGUAAAGCACUGUGGGGAGAGAAGAAUAAAGGCAGUGAAGAGCUGCCCCUGACGGUAUCUCCUUAGCAAGCACCGGCUAACUCCGUGCCAGCAGCCGCGGUAAUACGGAGGGUGCAAACGUUGCUCGGAAUCAUUGGGCGUAAAGCGCAUGUAGGCGGUUUGGCAAGUUGGAUGU
rnacentral:rRNA from 1 species